rnacentral:tRNA from 1 species
AGCGUGUGGCUGUUAACCACAAGGUCGCAGGUUCGAACCCUGCCGGUACCG